rnacentral:rRNA from 1 species
UACGUAGGGGGCAAGCGUUGUCCGGAUUUAUUGGGCGUAAAGAGCGUGUAGGCGGUUUGGUAGGUCCGCUGUGAAAACUCGAGGCUCAACCUCGAGACGCCGGUGGAAACCAUCAGGCUAGAGUCCGGAAGAGGAGAGUGGAAUUCCUGGUGUAGCGGUGAAAUGCGCAGAUAUCAGGAAGAACACCCGUGGCUAAGGCGGCUUGCUGGGCGUGAUCUGACGCUGAGGCGCGAAAGCGUGGGGAGCAAACAGG